rnacentral:rRNA from 1 species
GAGGAAGGUGGGGAUGACGUCAAGUCCUCAUGGCCCUUACGCGUAGGGCUACACACGUGCUACAAUGGAGAGUACAGAGGGUUGCGAACCAGUGAUGGUAAGCCAAUCUCAAAAAGCUCUUCUCAGUUCGGAUUGAAGUCUGCAACUCGACUUCAUGAAGCUGGAAUCGCUAGUAAUCGCGUAUCAGCAAUGACGCGGUGAAUACGUUCCCGGACCUUGUACACACCGCCCGUCAAGCCAUGGGAGUUGGGAGGACCUGAAGAUAGUAACCAUCUAGGAGCUAUUUAGGGUUAAACCAGCGACUGGGGCUAAGUCGGAACAAGGUAGCCGUACCGGAAGGUGUGGCUGGAACACC